rnacentral:rRNA from 1 species
GAUGAACGCUAGCGGAGGCGUUAAUACAUGCAAGUCGAGGGGUAUAUAUCUUUCGGGAUAUAGAGACCCGGCGAACGGGUGCGUAACGCGUAUGCAACCUGCCUUACACUGGGAAUAGCUUUCGGAAACGAAAUUAAUGCCGCAUAAUAUAAUUGGAUCGCAUGGUUUGAUUAUUAAAGAUUUAUUGGUGUAAGAUGGGCAUGCGUUAGAUUAGCUAGUUGGUAAGGUAAUGGCUUACCAAGGCAACGAUCUAUAGCGGGUCUGAGAGGAUGAUCCGCCACACUGGUACUGAGACACGGACCAGACUCCUACGGGAGGCAGCAGUAGGGAAUAUUGGACAAUGGACGAGAGUCUGAUCCAGCCAUCCCGCGUGCAGGAAGACUGCCCUAUGGGUUGUAAACUGCUUUUAUAAAGGAAGAAAAAGAGUUAUGCGUAACUCACUGACGGUACUUUAUGAAUAAGCACCGGCUAACUCCGUG